UAUAAACGUAAACACAGGCAGUUGGUCCACGUCCAUGCAAGGGGGAUUAUAUCAUGUCGAUCAUUUCUUUUAACAGGAUAUUCAAUAAUAUAUACUAUUCCGAUGUUCGUAAGCAUAGAUAUGUAUAGAGUGAUACGAUUCUCCCAACUAGGAGGCCCUUUCACAUGUAUUUUUUUAUUAUUAUUAUUUCUAAUCUGGAAUAUUGAUAGAAGACGCUUGAUUGUUCAUAAAACUGUCAAUCAUAGGUUGCGAAAUGAGAAAGUUACGACUUGAUUUCAGUAUCCAUGUUCCAUUACUUUUCUGAGAGAUUACCUUUUAAACAUGGCCGCCUCGUAGUCAUGUUGGUUACAGCCGGCACGCUACAUCAUGCUGAAUCUGUUCCGAGGUCUAUUCUCGUUGCUUCGACGGCAUGCAAGGAACUGGUCUCGAGUCGCCGUAUUUUUUGUUUUAAAACACUUUAUUGAUCAUAUAUAAAACUAUAGGAACGAAUACAUAAGUAUUGUACGAGAGAAGAGUUGAGAGGAUCCAUCCAUCUUCUGAGCUGCUUAUCCUCACCAGGAUCGCAGGUGUGCUGAAGCUGACUUCCGUCGAGAGGCACGAAUGGGAGAGGAAACCAGAGUACCUGGAGAAAACCUCCACAAGGAUCCAGAGAACAUGCAAACCCUACACAAGCGAUGCCUAAAUUUGAACCUGGACGUCGAAACUGUGAAGCAGAUGUGUGAACCAAUCGUCCAUUGUGUCGCCAGAGCACAGGAGAUUUUGAAUAAAAAUAUGAACUGAAGAUAUAAGACCAGCAACAAUGUCUUCAGGUCGUGUGAGAGCUCUUGACAGCACGGCUUGAGCUGAACAAAAAUUUACUGGAAAAAAAAAUGCCAAAACAGACUACAAGAGGAGGAUACAGUCCCAUCUUGCCAGCAACAGACCUUGGCAGGUGUGCCGGGUCUACAGAGCCUCAUAAACUUCAGAAGCUACAGGUAUGAUGUGACAUUAGGAGACACAAGCAACUCAUUGUCAGAGGACUUCAAGAGCUUCUUUGCUCACUUUAAAUCAUCCCAGCAACACUUCGCUGCUCCAAUGCCCUCCUGGCUCUAAUUACUCUCCAACUACUACACCUCCAGGAGCACGAUGUGAGGCGUGCGCUCCUGGCUUUGAACCGCAGGAAAGUUGCUGGCCUGGGUAGAGUACCAGGCAAGGUACUCAGAACAUGUGCCCACCAGCUCUUCAGUGUCUUCUGCAGGAUCUUCAUCCUAUCACUGACCCAACCAACCAUCCCCACUUGUUUGAAAUCUACGACAAUCAUUCCCAUCCCCCAACAGAAAUCCUUAAAUUGCCACAAUGACUACUCCCCUGUCGCACUCACACCUCUCAUUCUGAAGUGCUUCGAGAGGCUGGCAAAUAGAUCAAUGGAGGACCCCGCUGUGUUUAGCCACCCGGAACAACAACUGUGCUCCGGUAGGGUGCUCUAUGUGAAUUACGGCUCAGCCUUUAACACAAUUACACCGGACAUUCUGAUGACUAAACUGGAUGUCCCGCAAGUCCCUCCUCUCACAAGCACCUGGAUCAAGGCCUAUUUGACCAACAGACCCCAGAUUCUUGGAUGGACUCUGACUUUUCCUCUACCCACACAGUGAGAACUGGUUCGCCAAAGGGAUGUGUGCCGAGCCUCCUAGUGUACUGUCCCUACACCUUCGACUGUAUCCGAGCCCACAAAAAUAAAAUCAGCAUCAAAUUUGCUGAUGACACAACAGUGGUCAGGCUGAUCUCAAAUCGAGACAAGGUACCCUCCAGAGAGGAGCUUCAGAAGCUCACAACCUGGUGCUCCGACAACAAUUUGGUACUGAACACUAUAUAACCAAAAGAGAUCAUUGAGAAGUUCACGAUGAACAGAAUUGAAUCGGGUCCGCUCUUAAUCAAUGCCGAGAGUGUGGAGAGAGUGCACACAUUCAGGUUCCCGGGAGUCAUGAUCUCUGAGGACCUCUCCUGGACUGACAACAUCUCAGCGGUCAUCAAAAAGGUUCAACAGCAACUCCACUUCCUGAGAGUCAUCAUAAAAAACAACCUGGACACAAAAUUGCGGCUGGCCUUCUACAGCCCAUACAUUGAGAGCCUGCUGACGUACUGUGUCUCCAUCUGGUAUAGGAGCUCCACUGAAGCAGACAGAACAAGGCUUCAGAGGACAAUUAAAGCAGCACAGAAGAUCAUCGGCUGCCCUCACCUCUCCAUGGCAGAGAUUUACUCAUCUUGGUCCCUCAGCAAAUCUCGGGAAAUUAUUAAGGACACCACAGUUCUCAAGUGUUUGACCUCCUGCCAUCUAGAAGGUGGUACAGAUGUGCAAAAGCAAGGACCAAUAGACUGACAUUUUUUUUUUUUCCCCGAGAGCCAUCACGCCCUGAACUGUCAUCUUUUCUCUAGCCGUGCUAUUAAUGUGAAGGCACGCCGAUUUCAGCAUCUUGACCAAUUCAAUUUAUGCAUGCCAUUUUGCACAUCUAUUUUUAUUUCUUUUUACUCUUCUUCUUUUCCUUUUGGCUUGUUCAUUAGAGGUCGCCACAGCGCGUCAUCUUUUUCCAUGUGCGCCGAUCUCCUGCUACUUCCUCUCAAACCCCAACUUCCCUGUCUUCCCUCACAACAUCCAUCAACCUUCUACACAAGCCAAAUUUCCACCGACGUCCCGCAGGUUAACAGUGCCGGGGGUGGACAUUGUUAAUCCAGGCCACAACCGAUCCGGGAUGGGAUUCUUGAUAUGAACGCUCAUAUUUGUUUGGCAAACUUUUAAGAUGGAUGCCCUUCCUGACACAAACCUCUAUUUAUUCGGGGUUGGGACUGGCCUACAGACUGUACUGGCUCGUGCAACCAAACGGCUGCAUUAUUGUUUUUUAUUUUUAGUUCAUUUUUAUUCUUAUUUGUUUUUAUUUGUAACCUUGUUUUUAUGUAUGCAUUGACAAAGGAGAAGCGCUCCAAUUUGAUUGUACAGAGUAUAAAUCCCAUUCAUGGACAGCGUCCCAUUUUAGGACAUCAUGAUGUUCACACAUUAUAUCCUUCAGUAUAUCAAAAUAUUUAAGUGUUUUAAUCUGAAGAUAUAAUUUGGUAUCAGGAGAGGAUAACUCAUCAAAGUUAGCACAGAGUUAUUUCCCUUUCCUUCCUGACCCAACAUAACUGCCUCAAGUUAUCAUAUAACUUAACCAUAAACAAAAAAGAAGUGUUAUUUCCUUGAUUGUGGCCUGUUGGGAGACUUUUAUCUCAAUAAGGCAAAAAAUUGCCUCUCUGCCCAUUAAAUAGGAUCAUAACAAAAAACGGUAUUAUUUGAUUCAUUCAUUCAACUCUUUCAAUCACAAACCGGGAUACAACUUACCAAAAUCUAUUAGUACGGUGACAUGGGCAGAAUAGGAGUACAAGUGUUUCAGGUGAUAUUUCACCCACCCCUCCCCCCAAAAAAGAUGUUUGCCAGGGUCGUAGGUAUAUAUAGAUGUAAAAGACAUUUUGUCAGGUUCAUCACUUAACUGCUGGAAAAAUAUAUAAAUAACAAGGACAGAAGAGGUCUUCAAUUUGCUCAUGAGGAGGACAGGUUCAGCUGACUAGCUGCACCUCCGAAACACAUUCUGAGUCAGUGUCUAUGUCUUGUGUCUCUUUUUAUUGCUUUCUCAGGUCAAAAGUUUACAAAUUCACCAAGUACAAAUGGUGACGCAGAUGGCAACACAAACACAAAAGUAAACAUUUCUUCAAAGUUCAGCAGGGUCCAAAAAACAUCUCGAGAUGAGCAGGGCAUCUAAUUUAAAGCAUGUUUAUGGUGUUCAGGAGUACCGGCUUGAAGUCAGCAGGGGGAACAUCGGCUUUCCAGGUUUUGCUGGGUCACACAGCCACUCCCAAAGAGAAUGAUUUGGGCAAGAAUAUUAGAAACAAAUGCAUGAUGAAAGAAUUUUAACCCAUUUCCCUUGCUUUAUUUGUAAGGAUAUACAGUAAUAAUAUGGAAGUGUCUUAGUGCUUUUCCAGUGUAAAUUAUCAACAAAACAUUUCCUAUUGUAGUUGCCUUUAGCGCCGUAUUUGGCAAAGAUGUCUUUUCGCCCUUUUUUUAAGAGAAGUAAAACUAUUGGAAUACCAUCUAGAACUUCACCAAGUUUUUUCGAGUAAUUAAUGUUAAAUUUGCUCAGAAACUCAGAGUAACAUAAAACAAGCCCGUAGUUAUUUAUAAAUUGCUUUCCAGAUCCAUGCAAUUUCUAAACCAGUAUGGGGAAAAAAAGAAAGCUUGAGUCUUGUUUUGGCCCUCAUUUUUUGUGGUUCAGUUAGUUCAUGCUUUAUUUUUCACAGUGAAGAAAAAUAAGUAUUUGAUUACCCUGCUGUAUUGCAAGUUCUCCCACUUAGAAAUCAUGGAGGGGUCUGAAAUGUUCAUCGUAGGUGCAUGUCCACUGUGAAAGAGAUAAUCUAAAAAGAAAAAUCAAGAAAUCACAAUGUAUGAUUUUUUAGCGAUUUAUUUGUGUGAUACAGCUGCAAAUAAGUAUUUGAACACCUGUCUAUCAGCUAGAAUUCUGACCCUCAAAGACUUGUUUGUUCGCCUUUAAAAAUGCACCUCCACUCCAUGUAUUAUCCUGAAUCGGAUGCACCUGUGUGAGGUCGGUAGCUGCAUAAAGACAUCUGUCCACCCCCUACAAUCAGUGAGACUCAAACUUGUAACAUGGCAAAGACCAAAGAGCUGUCCAAAGACACCAGAGACAAAAUUGUACAACUCCACACAACUGGAAAGGGCUACGGAGAAAUUGCCCACCAGCUUGGUGAAAAAACAUCCACUGUUGGAACAAUCAUUACAAAAUGGAAGAAGCAAAACAUGACGGUCAAUCUCGAUCGGAGUGGAGGCCCAUGCAAGAUUUCACCUCGUGGGGUCUCAAUGAUCCUUAGAAAGGUGGGGAAUCAGCCCAGGACUACACGACAGGACUUGGUCAAUGACCUGAAAAGAGCUGGGGCCACUGUUUCCAAGGUGACUGUUGGUAAUACACUGAUGAUGAUGUCAUGGUUUGAAAUCAUGCAUGACACGGAAGGUUCCCCUUCUUAAACCAGCACGUCAAGACCCGUCUUAGGUUUGCCAAUGACCAUUUGGAUGAUACAGAGGAGUCAUAGGAGAAAGUUUUAUGGUCAGAUGAGACCAAAAAAAAUCACCUCAUUAAAGAAUACAGAGAAGUGCAAGUUUACGAUUAAAGUUCAAUUCAGUUGUAUUUUUUUUUUUUUUUACAUUGUCAGUAUUGACAUUUCUUUCUCCACAUGUGGAGCAAUUAAUUUUUUAACUUCUGGAUGCAAAUGGGAUUUCAUUUUAUUAACAAUAUUGUGGCCGAUCAUGAAUGUAGAAGUGAUGCUUAAAUAUUAAUAUCACUUGUUUUUGACAGUUUGAUGAAUAUAUCCCAUUUAUAUACUGCUCAUUUGUGUGUGUUAAUACAGCAUUUGAGUACCAUCCAUCCAUUUUCUUAGUCGCUUUAUUCUCACGAGGGUCACUGGGGAGUACUGGAGCCUAUCCCAACUGUCAAUGGGCAGGAGGCGAGGUAACCCUGAACUGGUUGCCAGCCAAUCACAGGGCACAUAGAGACAAACAGCCACCCUCACAAUCACACCCAGGGGCAAUUUCGAUUGUCCAAUUAAUGUUGCAUGUUUUUGGGAUGUGGGAGAAAACCGGAGUGCCCAGAGAAAACCAUGCAAACUCCACACAGCCGGGUCCGGGAUUGAAUCCGGGACCCAAGAACUGUGAGGCCAAUACUUUCCAGCUGAUCCACUGUCCCACCCCUUAACAAGUUGAGAUGAUGGUCAAGCAAUGGAUUGGUUGGGAAUCAAACCCCUGUUAACUACUUGGAAGGCAGCUAUGCUAACCACUAUAUCACCAACACACCAUUUGAGAACCAAUCUUCAUUAUUUUAAGAGAGAAGUGCUUUCCUAAACUCAUCAAAGGGGUGUUUCCAGUGAUUGUGUGUUCGCUUUGAAGUAAACAUUUUUGUGAACAUAAACACAGAAAGAAACUUCUGUGCUGUAUUUGAACAUUCAGUUGGUAUAAUUCCUUUGUUAUGGGGGUUUAGUUCAAGAGUAAACCUGAAGUGGAGUGUCAAGCAACUUGAACUUUAAACUGGAGUUUGAGACGCCUGACUUAAAGCAAACAACAUUCAGUCUUACUAAAUGCUAUUAUGUUAGCACUAUUGGAACCUGUUGUUGUGGGCUAUAUAUCCUCUCUCAGCGCAACUGAUGGUAGUACUGGAAUAAAACUCUUCAGUGUUUAUGAUAAACACAUGGGCCUACUGCACAAAAGACCAGGAUGAAUAAGAGUAUUCACAGGCCUGCUACAGCGCAAUUGUAGGUCAAGAUGGUGGUACAUAGAGAGGCUAGUUUUAUUUUGGGAGUCUUCAAAGUUUGGGAAACAAUGAGUAAAUAUACAAAAGAGUGAAAUAUGCAUGUCGAUGCUCCAACUAAACCAUACUGUACCAGUACGCCAAUUCGUAUCGUCCUUUAAAAAUCUCAAUAGAUAACUGAUUUGGUCUCAGCAACAUUGGAAAGUUCAGGAAUGCAGUCUGUUUGGGAAUCUCUGUUAAUGAAACAUUUGUAUCGUUUCAUGAGUUGACCCACAAAUUCAGCCUUUACAGAAACCAGUUUUUCAGAUCUUUGCAAGUCAAGGAUAAUGCCCGAAAGCACUCCCCUGACAUUCCUAAUAUUCCAUCUACAUUCUGACAAGUUUUGUAGUUAAUCUUAUAUAUUUGAAGCAGACUUGCUCCCUGCAAACUGAGGUUACGCAGUGACCCCCACGCAGUGGGAUAAACUACAUUCUUCAAAGUCGGCCUGGUGUGACAGUCCGACAGCAGGGCGCUUGGGCUCAAAAGUAAUUAGGAUGUUCACUCGGCCCCUGAUCACGUUUCCAACUUUAGUCCAACACAUUCUAUUUCCUUUGUUGUAUGCCAAUUUUCCUACAUUUGAUCAUUUCUUUUUAUUUUCUUUCUUUAGUCUAACGUUUUGUGUAUUUCCCUUUAGAUCCCUUCUAGUUGUCAUUAAAUAACUUUCUUUCGACUCGUCCCGUUUGGGGGUCGCCACAGCGUGUCAUCUCAGAUGAACGCUCAUAUUUGUUUGGCACAGUUUUUACGGUGGAUGCCCUUCCUAAUGCAACCCCUCUUGGGGAGUUGGGGAAUUGUAGUUGUCAUUAAAUAUACUAUAAAAUUCCAGUCUUGAUUGUAUUUUGUGUUCUGAAUUCAAGCAAACCUCUGUCAUCUAGAACUCAAAAAGUGUGGCAACCUUCUGAUUAUGAGAAUGAUGAAAAUGUUUCUCAUUCCGUUAACUAAUUUUGUCCACGUGAAAAUUGACGUGGUACCCCUUUUGCGAGAUAAAAUAGCUUGAUUUAUAACACGAAAAUUUCAAAGUAUGAAGUGAUCUUAAACGAUCUAUGUGUGAGCUGUAUUCUAUUUCAGUAGACACAGCAAUACAGGAUUUGUAAGCAUGAGAAAACUAUGAUUAGCCUCUCAGUAAAGCUAGAGUGUUAACUUUUUUUGUGUGGGAAAACGUGGUUGGCAUUUUCUCUUUCUGCUUUGUGUAUCACAGUGCUUUUCAACCACUUCGCCACGGCACAGUACCGUGGUGUGGUGUAGUGUCUGGUGUGCUGUAGGAAACCAUCCAUCCAUUUUCUACUGCUUUUCCAAGUCGGGUCACGGGGGAAGUAGCUUCAGCAAGGACACCCAGACUUCCCUUUCCCCAGCCACUUCUUCCAGCUCUUCAGGAGGGUCCCGAAGUGUUCCCAAGCUAGCCAAGAGACAUGGUGUGUCCUGUCCAGCUUGUCCUGGGUCGUCCCCAGGGUCUCUUUCCGGUGGGACAUGCCCGGAACACCUCACCAGGGUGCCGUCCAGGAGGCAUCCAGAUCAGAUUCCCCAGCCACCUCAUCUGGCUCUUCUCAAUGUGGAGGAGCAGUGGCUCAACACUGAGCCUCUCACGGAUGACUGAGCUUCUCACCGUAUCUCUAAGGGAGAGCCGGGACACCCUGCGGCGGAAACUCAUUUUGGUCGCUUGUAUCCCGGAUCUUGUUCUUUCGGUCACGACUCAAAGCUCGUGCCCAUAGGUGAGGGUAGGAACAUAGAUCGACUGGAAAAUUGAGAGCUUUGCCUUUCGACUGAGCUCCCUCUGAACCACAACGGACAGAGUCACUGCAGACGCUGCACCGAUGAGUCUGUCGAUCUCCCGCUCCAUUCUUCCCUCACUCAUGAACAAGACCCCAAGAUACUUGAACUCCUCCACUUAGGAAAGGCUCUCAUCCCCGACCCAGAGAGGGCAAGCCACUCUUUUCC